rnacentral:lncRNA from 1 species
GAUCAUAUAUAAUAUAUAAUCAGUGACUGAUACUCCUUCCCUCAUUCGAGCAUUGAAGAUGGCAUAACUAGUCUUGUACCUCUCAACAUUGUCAGGUGUGCCAAAAAACUUGUUCAAUAUUUGCAACAUAUCCUGUGGCUUAGCAUUCUCGAAACAAUGGCUAAACUCAUCAUUCAUCACUGCCAGCAUAAUUCAAUGAACUAUAGUUCGAUC